rnacentral:tRNA from 1 species
AUAUUUUUAAUAUAACUAGUAUAUAUGACUUCCAAUCAUAAAGACCACUUUUAGUGGAAAAUAUA